rnacentral:rRNA from 1 species
AUUGAACGCUGGCGGCAUGCCUUACACAUGCAAGUCGAACGGCAGCGGGGGAGAAGCUUGCUUUUCCUGCCGGCGAGUGGCGAACGGGUGAGUAAUACAUCGGAACGUGCCCUGUAGUGGGGGAUAACUAGUCGAAAGAUUAGCUAAUACCGCAUACGACCUGAGGGUGAAAGUGGGGGACCGCAAGGCCUCAUGCUAUAGGAGCGGCCGAUGUCUGAUUAGCUAGUUGGUGGGGUAAAGGCCCACCAAGGCGACGAUCAGUAGCUGGUCUGAGAGAACGAUCAGCCACACUGGGACUGAGACACGGCCCAGACUCCUACGGGAGGCAGCAGUGGGGAAUUUUGGACAAUGGGCGAAAGCCUGAUCCAGCAAUGCCGCGUGUGUGAAGAAGGCCUUCGGGUUGUGAAGCACUUUUGUCCGGAAAGAAAUGGCUCUGGUUAAUACCUGGGGUCGAUGACGGUACCGGAAGAAUAAGGACCGGCUAACUACGUGCCAGCCGCCGCCGUAA